rnacentral:pre_miRNA from 1 species
CCGUGUUGAGGUAGUUGGUUGUAUAGUACCGUGGUGUUCAAUACUCGACUAUACAAUCCGCUAACUUACCACGU